rnacentral:rRNA from 1 species
CCUACGGGAGGCAGCAGUGAGGAAUAUUGGUCAAUGGCCGGAAGGCUGAACCAGCCAUGCCGCGUGAAGGUCAGUGCCCUAUGGGCGUUAAACUUCUUUUGUGCGGGAGCAAUAAUGGUCACGUGUGGCCAGACGAGAGUACCGUACGAAUAAGCAUCGGCUAACUCCGUGCCAGCAGCCGCGGUAAUACGGGGGAUGCAAGCGUUAUCCGGAUUUAUUGGGUUUAAAGGGUGCGUAGGCUGUGAGGUAAGUCAGCGGUGAAAUGCCCCCGCUCAACGGGGUGAAGUGCCAUUGAUACUGCCUUGCUGGAAUGCGGAUGACGUGGGAGGAAUGUGUGGUGUAGCGGUGAAAUGCAUAGAUAUCACGCAGAACACCGAUUGCGAAGGCAGCUCACGAGUCCGCGAUUGACGCUGAUGCACGAAAGCGUGGGUAUCAAACAGGAUUAGAUACCCCAGUAGUC